AUCGACCUCGGAUCAGGCAGGAUUACCCGCUGAACUUAAGCAUAUCAAUAAGCGGAGGAAAAGAAACCAACCGGGAUUGCCCCAGUAACGGCGAGUGAAGCGGCAACAGCUCAAAUUUGAAAUCUGGCCUCGGCCCGAAUUGUAAUUGGCAGAGGAUGCAUCGGGGGCGGCCCCGUUCCAAGUCUGCUGGAACGCGGCGUCCUAGAGGGUGAAAGUCCCGUAGCGAGCGGUGUCCGCUCCCAUGUGAUGCUCCUUCGACGAGUCGAGUUGUUUGGGAAUGCAGCUCUAAAUGGGUGGUAUAUUUCAUCUAAAGCUAAAUACU
rnacentral:rRNA from 1 species